rnacentral:rRNA from 1 species
CUACGGGGGGCAGCAGUGAGGAAUAUUGCGCAAUGGGGGAAACCCUGACGCAGCGACGCCGCGUGGAUGAUGAAGACCUUCGGGUCGUAAAAUCCUGUCAGAAGGAAAGAAGUGUAUGGUAGCUAAUAUCUGCCAUACUUGACGGUACCUUCAAAGGAAGCACCGGCUAACUCCGUGCCAGCAGCCGCGGUAAUACGGAGGGUGCAAGCGUUGUUCGGAAUUACUGGGCGUAAAGCGCGCGUAGGCGGUUUUAUAAGUCAGAUGUGAAAGUCCACGGCUCAACCAUGGAAGUGCAUUUGAAACUGUAAGACUUGAGUAUUGGAGGGGGUAGUGGAAUUCCCGGUGUAGAGGUGAUAUUCGUAGAUAUCGGGAGGAAUACCGGUGGCGAAGGCGACUAUCUGGCCAAAUACUGACGCUGAGGUGCGAAAGCGUGGGGAGCAAACAGGAUUAGAUACCCUAGUAGUC